AGAAGACAUGUAUGUAUUGGAGAUAAAAUUUUACACAGUGGAUAGAUUUGAUAAACUUUACAGAGUAGACGGAAAAGUUUAUGAAAAACGUGAUGCCUGCCUUUCGCAACCGCUGUCUCAUGAACGUAUACUGGAUUGGGAAGAACAGGUUUAUAGAUUUAUUUACAAAUAGCCGCCAAUAGUCAUUGGCAAGAAUAAAAAAAAAAAGAAAAACAAUAAAAAAAUAUACAAGGUUUUAUUAUGGUUUAUGAAAAACGUAUUUGAUUUAAUUAAUCCUUAAUUUAGGAGCUGGGGCUAUCUUCAAAUUAUACUUUCAGACCAUAUUUUUGUUCGUUAGUUCUACAAAUAUUCUAAACCCACUUUCUCUUUGUUUCUUCUGAAUAAACUGACCUGCUAUUCGGCAGAGAUGGGUCCGAUUACUUUCAAUGUAAUUGAUUAAAUUACAAUUACUUUGUCAUUUGUACGAUUAAAUUAAAUUAAUGAUUACAUCAUUUUUGAAAGUAUCUGAUUAAAUUAAUGAUUACAUUGACAAAGUAAUCAUGAUUACAUCUUGAUUACAAUGAAUUAAAAACAAAACAUUUAAUGAUGUGAAUGAAUAUUCAAUAUAAACUAUAGCAUUUUUGAGAAAGUAUUUCAUUUUGUUCAAUUAUAAAAUGAUAACUUUAAAUUAAACUUCAUUUAUUUAAAUAAACACCAAAUUUCACUACAUAUUUAUACAUUACACUUUAUCACCAAUGAUCUCUGAAUUAUUUUGAAUUUAAUUUAAUAAAGAUAUAUCAUAAUCAAGAGUUUUUUGUUUGUCUUCUGACCGCUCUUUCAUAAUUUAUAUGUAUUCCAAGUUGCAGUUUAUGGAAGUUUAAAUAUGGAUGAAAUAAAGUUACCAGUUAAAACUAUGUUAAAUUUUAAUAGAAAUGUUAAAUCAAAUUGUAAACAAUAUGUAAGAUGGUAAGUACUAAAAAUCAUUGCAUUUUACAUGUCCAGUCCAAAUACAAAAAAAAAAUAAACAACAUAUUUGUCCAGCUUUUAAAUAAUGUGCUAAUUAGAUAAAUUUUCAUGUCUGAUUUAUCUUUUAUCAUAUAUAUUCCCUACAGCUAUACUCAAUUGGUAAUUGCAAUAAAAACAAACAUUAAUUAGUCUCCUACCUGUCAAUUCAAAGUUGACAAAAAUCACAAAAAUUAACAAAAGAUUAUAAUUCAGGGUUAAAGAAAAGUAUUACUUGAAUAUAUAACAGUUAUUAUCAAAAAUUAAUAUGAAGAUCAUUAUAAAACGAUGAAUAUACAUGUAUGUACAAUACCUUUUACCAAAAAGAUAUAUAAUUGUAUUAUAUGUCUCUGCUUAGGCUAAUGAUGACUUUUCAGUACUGUUACUUUAUUUUUUACUAAAGUAGACAGGCUUGAAGUAACCAAACCAUUUUAGUAUGUUUAAAAUUUAUCAUAUAUAUGAAUAACAAAAUGACCAAAAACACAUUUUAGAUUUUUUUCAUUGUAAUCAGAAUGUAAUCAAAAAGUAAUCAUGAUUACAGGGUAUUUUGAAAAGUAAUUGAUUAAAUUAAAUUACAUGUAAUCAGAUUUUUGGCUGAUUAAUGAUUACACUGAUUACUUGAAAAAUAGUAAUCAAUUACAGCUGAUUAACGAUUACAAUUACAAUUACCCCAAGUCUGCUAUUCGGUCAGCAGGUAUAUAUCUCGCUUGUAUCAAUUCUUUGUAACUUUUUCAUAUAUUUUACAAUUAUAUUUCUUUAAUCUUUAAAAUAUUCUCUACAUCCAUUUUCACUUAGAACAGCCAAAAACUGCAUUUGCAGAUGGCUGUAUUUUUAGCAAAUGCAAAAGAAACGCUGAAACAUUGAAUCGUACGAAUAUUUGACUAUUUGAAUACCGGGCAAACAUAUAGUACAAAUGAUAUGCUUUCGGAUUGUACAAGAAAUACAAAUAUUAAAGGCUGGUGCAUUACAAAAAAUAAUGCUAUGGUAAAUGCCACUCCAUUAAUAAUAUAAAACCAACAAUUGAUGGCGAUAUUAAUUAUAAAAAAUGUUUUGUAGAUUAGACAUAAGCAGAAAAAUGAUGAUCUUCGAGAACAAAUAACAAAAAAUGAGAUAGAUAAAGCAAAGCACAAUUAAGCAACUGAUUGAUGAAAAAGAUCAGGAAAUAAAUAAAGAGAAAUGUUUGAGAUUAGAGAAAGAGACAUCUGUUACCACAUUGGAACGUGAGAAAUCAAAACUCAUAAAAGAAAACAAAAAAUUAAUGGGUAAAUCCAAAGUGUCUGUGAUUUUGUGAAAGACGUAUUAAAGUUAAUGAUGACACGCUAUGUAACCACAUUUAUAAAGGCAACCUCAGCAGAAGAUUAAGUAUGGAAAUAUGACAUUGUCUGACUGUAAGAUCAGCAAUAGGAGUGCGUAAUAUCGACUAUGUUGGAUAUACUACUGUAUACUUACGUCUCGAAUGAAAAGGACAUACAUACAAUUCACAUAUUUUGGAACAAAAGAAAUUAUAUAAUAAUUCAGAGGGGUUAUUAUAAAACCUAAUGGAAAGACACUACAAAGACACUGCCCAAUAAUUCCUUAUUUAUCAACCAACAAGAUGGUCUGUUACGUCAAUCGGUAGUAAUAACAGUUA
rnacentral:lncRNA from 1 species